ensembl:snRNA U6 U6 spliceosomal RNA
GCAGCAAUGCAGAGAAGAUGAGCAUGGUCCCUGUGCAAGGAUGACACGCAAAUUCGUGAAGCAUUCCAUAUUUUU